CCAUUUUUUCUAGGCAAAUGUCUCCUAAUUUGUUGGACUUACUACACCUCAUUAAUAUAAUAAUAUACUAUAUUUUCUAUAAUUUUCUACUAAUAUGCCAUGCUUUAGAUGAAGAGCCAAGCUCCUCUCACUGUGGUUCCAGGGCUUGGGGUGGUGAAUGUCUGGCUUCUCUUACCUUACGGUUGGUCUGAGGCUCAAUUAGGAUGUGGUUCUUUGUUUUUACUUCACAGCGGUAAUCAGCAGUAAUAAUAUAUUAUCCUCUUUAUUGUUUUCAGGUAUUAAGUAUAUACCAUAUGGAAACAUCAACAAGUGUGAAACUUCAACAAUUAAGAAAAGACAUGGUUCUUGCUGUGGCAGAAGGCAUUUUGAAAUGAACUGUAACAUAAAUAUGCUUUAACCUUGGGAGCCAGUCUUAGCAUUGCAUUCAAGUUCUGACUUUAUUUGUGUCUCCCUAGGUGAGUUACUUACCUUUCCUAAGCCUGCAUUUCCUCAUUUAUAGACAAAGAUAGUGAGUACAUACAACAGGCAGGAAUAAUGGGAUGCAGUAUGUAAAUCAAAGACAUAGUCCAAAUAAGUAUAAGCUUUCAUUAUUAUAUCAACAUGGGAAGGAAUCAUUAUGAAGGUUACAGUAGGAUUAUAAAGGAAUUGAGUAACUAAAUGCAUAUAAAUCAGGACACUUCCAUCAAAAAUGAAAAACUGCACAUAGAACAUACACAUCUGCAAGUGUAGCACAUCAUAUAUAUAUUUUACUAUACUUUGAAAGUGCUUUUCCUUUUGCUAACAGCAUGGCCUUUGUGAAAAUGGAAUAAAGUAGUUAAUUCUUUGGAGAAGGCCUUGGGAUUCCUCCAGUGUCUUAGAUUCAAAUUCAGACCUGGUUCUUCUGAGCUGGACCAUUAGUAUGACUUGGGUCUGUAUGCUGGAGUUGUCUUACUGGAAUCUCAGGUUGGUGCAGAGGGAGAGAUUCCAUUAACUGACUCUUUCUCUCCUAGUAAAGGUACAUUUGUCAGCAUCAUAAAUCCCGUGUUCUUCUUACUCAUACACUUAUGCUUAGGACAAUGUGGAGGCUUCACAUAUCAACUUCAGACAACAUACAGGAGAUAGUGUUGAUAAUCUUCAGGAAGAGAAGAUUUAAGCCAGUGACCAGACCACAGCACCUGAGAUUUCCAGCAAUGCAUUAUUUAAUUGUAAAAUUAAAGAUCUUCGAAGAAAAAGCGAAAAUGCGAUCCUGUUGGCAAUUUAUAAAACCACUUUCCCCUCGUUUGAUUCUACAACCCUGUGAUGUUGAAGGUGAAGGGAAUUAUUCCUAAAUAUUGUCAAAAGAUUCCAAGACCCUGUAUAUUGAGAAAGCCCCACUGUACAUAUUAGCAAUCUGAGGUACAGAGACGUUAAGCAAGGAAAAGACGGAAGCCAAGUUUUCUGGUGCCAAAUCUCAUCCCUUUCCACAAGACUACUUCACUUACCCUUGAGAAGCUUUUCUUUCCUUCAUCGCUCUUUAGGGUUUUUGAGAGACCACCGACUCAGAUAUUGACCCACCGAGAAAGCACUAACCCACUAAUGGCUGUGUAAGUGGUGUUUCUUGAGGACCUGUAAGCUGAUUAGAGACCAUUUAGUCAUAAUACAGAGUAAGGGGAAGGCAGAGGAACAGAGAUGGGUGGAAUCUUCUGUCACCAGCCACUAAGUUACAUCUAUUUAUAUUGCACCAGAGCUUAACAGCUCACUUAAGAAUGCUAAAGAUUAAUCUCACUCUUAGGAGCAUGCCAGUAAAAUCUUCACUUGGCAAAGCUAAAAGUGUUUUGGCUUUCGUUUCUUCAAGGCCAUGUAUCAUCGAUUUUUGUGUCUGAUUCGAAAGAGCCAAUUGAGCUCUUAAAAAGCAUCCAAGGAUUUAGAAUCUAGUACAUUUUUAAUGAGUGGUUGUUUAAAGCUUGUGGAAACACAGCUUCAGAGACUUUCAAUUUACCAACAGUGGUGAGUGUACAAUCCAUCUCUUCUUGGCUGAAUUCUGUGAAUGGAAAAUCCUUGGUUAAUUCUUAGGACACAUUUUGGAGAAAGGGAUGGGUGCCAAAGAUCAGUCUCAAUCCAUCAAUUUCCUUAUGGCCCCACACAAAUACAAAGUGAGGCCAUAUUUUAGAAAGACUCUUGAUAACAUGACGUCACCAAAGUUGGGUUCUUAAGCCAGUUUUUGGCCACAUCAGUCUGACUUCUUAUUUAAAAUGAAAAAUAACUGGGAAGAAAACUAAAUAGAGCUAGGAGGUCUGGUGGCAGUCUUUGCUCAGUAACUUGUCAUUGGUGUCACCUGGGAUGAUUCACCUAACUCCUUUAAAUUUCACUUUCCCAACAGUGAAAUUGUAUUAGUAGUAGCCCUGACGACCGCUGAGAGUUUUGUGGACACUGAGACGUACACAUGUGAAAUCUCUUUGUAAAGUGGAAGAUACUGUGUGAACAUGGGAAUCGGUAACUUUGGUCACUGGAAAACAUUAUUUGGAAGGAAUAAAGAAGACUUUGGAAAUUCUGUCUUGUUCUCAAGAGUUUCAGUUGAUUAUACUUAGGAUAAGUUAUUUAUCCAUCAUCUUCUUCACCUGGAAAACAUUGUCUAGAAAAUGAUAGAUAAUUAGUUAACAUUUAUUAAAUGAAAAGUAGAUAAAGGGAAAUAUUGCUUUCUUUAUUUACCAGGGAAUAAACCAAGAAGAUUGCUUUGAACAAAACAGACUUCAAUUCCUCUUAC